AUGAGGAGGGUGAGUAAUGGCUAUGCCUUAUGGGCGUCCAUAUAUGGCUCCAUAUGCCGUACCUGGGGUAUGUGGCUCCACAGGCGCCGACACAGCCUGUCAACUACAGUAGGAUGUUUAACCCCCACAUCUCCUCUGCGACCUAUGACGUCCAGUUCUGUCACCACUUCCAGCAGCAGGCCUGUGUUGGGACGACUGUGUCUUCCCCUGGGACGACCGUGUCUUCCCCUAGGACGACCGUGUCUUCCCCUGGUACGACCGUGUCUUCCCCUGGUACGACCGUGUCUUCCCCUAGGACGACCGUGUCUUCGCCUGGGACGACCGUGUCUUCGCCUGGGACGACCGUGUCUUCCCCUAGGACGACCGUGUCUUCCCCUGGGACGACUGUGUCUUCCCCUAGGACGACCGUGUCUUCCCCUAGGACGACCGUGUCUUCCCCUAGGACGACCGUGUCUUCC
rnacentral:lncRNA from 13 species